AAUCAACGCUGGCGGCGUGCCUAACACAUGCAAGUCGAACGAGAAAGUGGAGCAAUCCAUGAGUAAAGUGGCGCACGGGUGAGUAACACGUGACUAACCUACCCUUGAGUGGGGGAUAACCUAGGGAAACCUGGGCUAAUACCGCAUAAUACCUACGGGUCAAAGGAGCAAUUCGCUUUAGGAGGGGGUCGCGGCAGAUUAGUUAGUUGGCGGGGUAAUGGCCCACCAAGACGAUGAUCGUAUCCGGCCUGAGAGGGCGCACGGACACACUGGAACUGAACACGGUCCAGACUCCUACGGGAGGCAGCA
rnacentral:rRNA from 1 species